UACGGAGGUUGCAAGCGUUAUCCGGAUUUAUUGGGUUUAAAGGGUGCGUAGGCGGACCCAUAAGUCAGUGGUGAAAGACUGUCGCUCAACGAUAGCAUUGCCAUUGAUACUGUGGAUCUUGAGUACAUUUGAGGUGGGCGGAAUGUGUAGUGUAGCGGUGAAAUGCUUAGAUAUUACACAGAACACCAAUUGCGAAGGCAGCUCACUAAACUGUAACUGACGCUGAGGCACGAAAGCUAGGGGAGCAAACAGG
rnacentral:rRNA from 1 species